GAUGAACGCUGGCGGCGUGCCUAAUACAUGCAAGUCGAGCGAAUGGAUUGAGAGCUUGCUCUCAAGAAGUUAGCGGCGGACGGGUGAGUAACACGUGGGUAACCUGCCCAUAAGACUGGGAUAACUCCGGGAAACCGGGGCUAAUACCGGAUAACAUUUUGAACUGCAUGGUUCGAAAUUGAAAGGCGGCUUCGGCUGUCACUUAUGGAUGGACCCGCGUCGCAUUAGCUAGUUGGUGAGGUAACGGCUCACCAAGGCAACGAUGCGUAGCCGGCCUGAGAGGGUGAACUGCCACACUGGGACUGAGACACGGCCCAGACUCCUACGGGAGGCAGCAGUAGGGACUCUUCCGCAAUGGACGAAAGUCUGACGGAGCAACGCCGCGUGAGUGAUGAAGGCUUUCGGGUCGUAAAACUCUGUUGUUAGGGAAGAACAAGUGCUAGUUGAAUAAGCUGGCACCUUGACGGUACCUAACCAGAAAGCCACGGCUAACUACGUGCCAGCAGCCGCAGUAACAC
rnacentral:rRNA from 1 species